UCCUCUGAUCCGAUGUCUGCCUCUCAGCUGGCCGAGAAGGCCAGCAGGGCUGGCUCCGGCCCUGGCCGGCAGCGCGGCCCCGACCCCCGGGAGCCCCUAGUGUCCAGGGCGCAGCCCCCAUUGCGCGUUCCUGGCGCUGCUCACUGGGCCAGGCAGAGAGCGCCCAGUCCAAAAUACAGGUCAGUGUAAAGUGUAGCUGACAGAAUGAAGACUGGUAAAUUCUGAAUUUUUCCAUAAUGCAUCAGGUAAGGAAAACUGUUCAGCCCUUCAGAAGUGCGCUUUGCUCCCUAUUUCUCUGUCUUCAAGAAUCUUCAUAAAUCUGUUUGGUUUUUAGAGAUGCAGCAGAACUAAAUUUCUUCUUGGAGAUGUUGAAAAACCAGUUAAGUACCAUAUACUUAUUUUCUUUUAAAAUGUAAAUGGCAUGAGAAGUGAACUUGUAGCUUCUGUCUUAUGUUUAAAUAAAGGUGUGAAGGAAGUCCCUGUUUAGGGAAAAAUUCUGGAUAUAAAUCUAUUUCAUGUUGCAAUUAUAGGAAAAUGUCAGUUUAAUCUUGUAAAUACUUAUGCUAAUUUUACUGAGAGAAUUCAUUCUAAGGAGAAGUACCAAUCGUGUGUGAUUCAGUAGUGCUUAGAUGAUAAUCCAGCAUCUCUAUGGAUUAUUUUAUAUACAAAAUGGGGAGUGCCUAAGAUCCAGAAUCUAAAUCCUUUAUUUAGCAGGAAAGGAGGCAGAAAAUUUUAGACCAAACUGGUUUUUAAGGCAUUUUUACGGUGGGGAGGGAAAGUGGAAUGGAGGCUAAGCAGUGCACUGCUGUUUUUCUGCCUCUCUCUCUCAAAUGAAUGGCUAUAGAUAACAAAGGUAUAUGCAUAAAGCGGUACAUAAAUAUACAUUUGAAUGACUUCACAUGCCUUGUCAUCUCUGUGUGGGUAUCUGUGCACACAAACAGACAAGGUGUGCACAAAUGCAAGUGCUGAGCAGAGAUAUUAGGGGCUUUUUCCUCAUUGGGGGAUUUAUGUUUCUGGGUCUGUUUUAAGCCAUUUCUUUGAAAAUAUAACAUAGCAAUGUUGUUUUAAUGAACAAGAUGUAGAUGGUGAAUCUGAGUAUGAAUCUGUUCCCCUACGGUUUUCAGAAUAUGGGAUUGUAGAUAUUAUUUGAUCCAAGGGUUAAAUAUGCAAUGGACCAAUGUCAGGGGGAGAGGGGGGGUGUGCUAGUAUAUUUCUCUUAGAGCAUAGCUUUGGACCCUAGGAAUCUCCCCAACAGGGUGACUGGGGACACAGUAAAAAGGAGGGGGCGUUGAAACUCAGUGUGGAGUCAGGGGAGGUCGAUAGGACGAGCCUCUGAAGAUCCAGCUCACGAUGUAAGAGAAGGGUUGGAGGGUGAAGAAUGUUCGGUCUCCUUUUAAAUGUGUAUUGUUAUUCUAAGUCUAUUGUAUGUACGUGUUGCCGUCGUUUCAUUUGCCACGACAACAUAUGGAUUCCAUAAAUACAGACAUGCCGAAGUGCAUCUGUCUGAGUAGUUAACACGAUCCAAACAUCCCUCCUCAUUCCGCUAACUCCGCUCUUCCUUGGGAUUCCUGGCAGUGCUUGUGCCCAAGAUCCCAGCAUCCCUUAAUCUCACCCUUUUGUGAGACUACCUUUUGUGGUCUCUGCACCGUAUUCAAGGUGCAAAGCUAUGGAAGCGGACUGCUAGCAGCAAUUCAGCAGUAAAGUCUCUGCCAAAGGACACGGGGCCUCUGGGCUAACGGGGAGGAAAGGGUUAAGCUGCCAGAGCCCAAGGAAGGGGCUGUGCUCAUCCCAGAGCGAGGUGCAGCCACCGGCAGCUGUGAUUUAGGGGUCAAGUCCGAGAUCACCUUUCUCCUGCCUCUGGAAAUGGCAGAAGAUGGGGAAGGGGGUGGGGGUGGGGGUGGGGGCUGGAAACACAGGAGAGAACAGCAACCAGGCACAAGCACAUGGCGUUCCAUCCGUUCCCUCGCCUGGUCUCAGUCCCCCUCCUGACACACACCCCCUCCCCUAGACAAACUGGACAGAUCCCUUUCACUUCUAGGGCAGUGGGAUAUUCUGAGUAUCCCAAGUUUCUCUCUCAGUAGCUCUGUCCCUACCAUGAAACCUCUGUGUACUGGAGUUCUAAGUACCGAUUCUGAAAGUUUAGCCUUAGAGCGGCAGGGAAUAAGAAGCCAAUGUAGGUCAAAACUUCCUUCUCCUUUGCAGACGACUGGGAUGCCCCUAGCAGGAAGAAGUUUGAACAUGGCCCUCUCUGCCCCAGACUCAAGUCAUACAUCCACUCCUACAGUCCUGAGUGGGUGGACACCCGUGGGGUCUGUUACACGCAGCUUCUUGCUUUGUGCCUACAUUUUUGGUCAAAAAAUUUUCCCUCCCAUCUCACGAAGCCCCCAGAACACUUUUCAUCCAAAAUAUUUUUUAAGCCUGAAAGAUGACCCUAAGCCAAAUUCAGAUUUGUUCCUAAGUCAUUUCACUAGAAAAGAGCAAAAUGUCAAAGUCUUCUGCGUUGGCAUAAAGGUAGCAUGUGGAGUCUUAGUACCCAGGUCUUGUGAGUUCUGGGGGUGCCCAGGGGGUCGGGGGAGGGGGCUGCAGCUGGUGUCCAUAGGGCGGGUGUUAGCCAAGAAUGAGCUUCCCAAAUCCUCCCCCAGGAGGCUGGCCAGUUAGGAAACUGAGAGAAGCAUAGUUCUUUCCGAAAGUUACAAUAAGAAAAAAAUAUUGUGAGGGGUGUGUGUGUGUGUGUGUGUGUGUGUGUGUGUGUGUGUAAAAGACCUGGCUCAGACUGACAGGAAGACCCUGGUCUCUGGAGGAGAGGAGACAAGUGGAAGAUACAGGAAUGAGGAAGUGAUAGAAGUUUAAAACAAGACGAUCUCCCAUUCUCUCCCGGGUCUCCCUCAGAGGUGAAGGCAAAUCACCCUGAUCCAACCUGUGCUUCCAGGGCCAAGGGCCGCCCAGCUGAUCCAAAGGCAGCUAAGGUCUGUCUUUUCCAGUCUGUUUGGCCCUAACCUUGCCAGAGCCUCCAGACCUCGGAGAUCAAACCAAAUUGGCUGCUGGAAUUUAAGAGGUUUCAGCCCUGGAGCAAGGAGGAGGGGACAAUCUCCCCUCCCCCCAACCCCCUUUAACUCCCAAUUCAAGAGACACCACAAGCCACAUUUGAGUGUCAUCCCCAGUCGUGGAUUAUGGGUAUAGCUCAUUCUUUCUUCCUAUUUCUCAGAAGUAAAAACCUUAAAAAAUUAGUCCCAAACUUAGAGUGCCGGAGUCCUUGAAAUAGUUCCUAAUGAUAAAACCUGCCUUCAUUUUCAGUACCUAUCAGAUUGUGAAAAAUGCAGGGGUAACGUUGGAUUCCCCAUUUCCCUCCAUUCCUUUGUAACAAAAAUCUAGGGGGUGGUGGUGGGGAGGCAGGAGGAGUGGAGUCCGUUCGUGGCUCUCCUGGGUUCUGCACCACCACCACACGCUAGAUUCCCUUUUGGUGACCCGGUACCAGAAGUCUGCAUGGAACCAAAACCCGGAGGCGGGCUCGAGGAGGAGACAGAACUAACCUCAUCACAACUCAACAAAGUGAACAACUGCAAGACAGACACCCUUGGUUGGACAACGUGCGCUUUAGGAAUUCCCAAGAGCAUAUAACUUGGGGAAUGAUAGAAGCUUCUUGCCUACCCGCCACAGCCUAAAGAAAAGGAAGCCAUGAGAAGAGCCGGCCGGGAUCUGUUGGAGGUGGGGGGUCUAGGGAGCAGAGCUGUGAGCUCUAUCAGGGGUGGCCUGGGGAGAGGAUGCCCAUGGUGGCACGUGCAUUGUUGACAGGCAAGCAUGUGUUAAUGGAGGGAUGAGUGGCCGAGCAAUCCCCCAAUGCUUGCAUUUCUUGCAGGCAUGGCUUGUUUAAUGAUGAGGGAAUUGAAUGACGCACACACGCGUGCAUGUGCACACACACACACACACACAUCCUUUUUGCCGUGGCUGAGAAAUGUAAAAAGAAACCUAUAUUAUAUAUCUAUAUAUGUUCAGAAAAAAGUAUGCAUUUUUCCUUGAGAAAUAGCCAAUGCCAUAAUAUCUUUGAUUUGAGGGGCGAGGGAAUUUUUGAAGUAAAGGAAAUCAGUGGGGGACGAA